UGCAAGGAUUGUAUGUCAAGUUAGACUCUUGCCAUCUCAAAUCACCUACAUUUCAUGCUGUGGCUGCAUGUACCAUAAGCAGGUAUUACAUUAAACUCACCUUUAAACUGCUUUAAUCAUAGAUGUAUGAAAAUACCUUGCUUUUCCCCCACUUUUGAAUACAUUUCAGGGAAAACUAAAGUGGUUAUAAAACUGUUUCCCACACAGAUAUUCCUAAACAUGUGCAAAAAUGCUCACUGUUGUUUAAAUGGUUGUGAAAAUAACUUGAAUAUUUAAUGCAUCCAAAACAACACUGGCUGAGAAGUUACUAAUGUUGCAAGACUAGAAUGAAAAGUAUGAUAAAUGCAUGGACAGUUAUUGUACAGAUUCUUUGCAGAGAACCUUUGCAUGUAUUUCUUAAUCAUGAACCUGGGACACAGCACUGUAUUUCUUUCAUUAGAUUGUCCUCUUAGGUGGCUUAUAUUUUGGGGAUUUGUCUCACAAUAUUGAGACCUCUAAGAGAAGUAUCUUCAAAUUCAGCAAGGGAGGCAAAUGGCCUACAGGCAUAGGUGAAGGAAGAAAUAAAAUGGUGAACAAAAGAACAAGGAACUAGGAGAGGCCAGGGCUGGUUUUGGUGAUGAAGUCCUCAUCACUGUUACCUGGGAAGGACAACAGUGCUCUUAGACCUCUUUACACACCUGUCUUUGACAGUCAUAGACCACAGAGAAACAAUAUCUUGUGUUCUAGAGAAAGCUCCCUCGCGCCUUUCUUUAAACUAUCCAAUUCAACAAGCUCUCAAUCUUAUCCGAGAACUGACAGUUAGAAUAAAAAUAUUUCAUUGCUUUGUUUCCUCUUCUGAGGAUAUAAUCAAAUUGCCAUCUUUCCCCUUGCUUUUCAUUGCCCUUUGCUGAAACAUACUGUCUGUGUAUAUUAAUAUUACUAACUUCCACAGGAAAAUUAAGAAGCUGAUAGAGAAAAAGGGUUCCACCACCAAAGCCUCGGAGUGGUCAAACUGAUCAAAAGAGGGACAUGAAGGCUCAGUAUUAUCAAAAAAGGGACACGAAGCCUCAGUAUUUAGUUUUGUUUUUGGUCUCUAUGGAAAUUACAAUGACCUAUGAAUUUACUAUCUAUGGUCCUAAAUUGAAUUUCUGGUAAAGACAGAUAUAUGUAUCAUAUAUUAAAAUGUUAAUAGUCCUGAAGGAAUUUUUAGCUAAUAUUAGNAAAAUGUUUCAUCUCUCUUCAAUUAUCUGUUCAUCUAUUUAUAAAUUUCUCUUGUAUACUCAGCACUGGCUCAAGGGCCAUGGGGGUACCACCAGGUAGACUUGUUCUCUGUCUUUCAUCAAUUACAAUAUAUUUGGAGAAAAAAUUAGAACAAUAGAGAAAAAAUUCAGGGGUACUAUAUUGCAGCAGAAAUUGCUACUGAAAGUUAUAGUAUUAAAAAACAUUCCAGUUUCUUGCUGAAAGUCCCCAGGGGGCAGGGGGAUUGCUAAUUGCCAUGAUUUCAGAUGGGAAAGCAGGAAUACAGACAUGAUGGUAACAAACACCUGGGGACAGUUAAGAGCCAGUGGUGGCCAUAGAGAAGGGCCAUCUUGGGGAGCAAUAUCAUAUCUUUGAACUAUGUGGCAGAACUUCAUUGUUAUGUAUUCUUCACUGAAUAGGUCAUAUAUUUUUUGACAACGAAUAUUCUCAUCAACUCCCUUGCCAUGCCUUACCACCCCUAGCUUGUUAGUGGAGAAAAAUUUACUCCUUAGGAAAUGAUUCCACUAUAACUGAAGCCAAUCUGCACAUCCAAAGUUCAAAAUCCACCAAAUAGACAUGUCAGGAGCAUUUGGUGGAUUGGAUAGAGUAUCAAUAUCUUAUUUUAACUCUUCCUCUAACCCUCAAGGAUUAGAGCCUCCAUCUCAAUGUCAGUAGCACUAAAAUCCUUUCAACAUUGAUCUAUGUACCCACUUGUCUGGUAUUACAAUUAAAAUGAUGUUUUAGUUUUUCUUCUCAAUGGGAUUGAAUGUUUUAAGGACCGGAGUAGGUCUGACAUAACACUAAAUUGUAGAUGCUAAAAUCAGGUUGAAUUUAAUGGAUUUAUAGGACCAUAAUUUGUUUUUCUUUUUUUUUCACUUUUGUUGUUGUUGGAGGAUGGUGAAAUUCUCACCUCUCGAGGUAAUCUGGGUAGGGUGGGGGUCAUCAUUUCACAAAUGCCUGGUUGAUACUACCAUGUAUUUACUGAUCUAUUUCAUUUAAAGUUUUCCUCUGAUGGCCUUGACUGUGCCCUAACAAAGCUGUUAAAACUGGUCCGGGAGUUCCUGUCAUGGCUCAGCAAUAACGAACCUGACCAGUAUGAGGACACGGGUUCCCUCACUGGCCUCGCUUUGUGGGUUAAGGAUCCAGCAUUGCCAUGAGCUGUGAUGAAGGUCAGACUCAUCUCAGAUGCCGUGUUUUUGUGGCUGUGGUGUAGGCUGGUGACUACAACUCCAAUUCGAGCCAUAGCCUGGGAACUUCCAUACGUUGUGGGUGCCACCCUAAAAAGACAAAAAUAAUUAAAAUAAAAAAUUAAAUAAAGCUAGUCUGGGGAGGCCAUCUUCGUUCCUUUGGGUCUCCAACAAAGGGCAGGAAAGAUGAUAAUGAUCUCUUCCUAUCACAAGAAAAAAAAAAUCAAAGCAAGAAAGCAAUGGUUGAUUACGCUUAAUGCUUUUAUAGAUUUUCCUCCUUUCAGUCCCUCCGUCAUCUUCUGAUCUGUUGUUUAGAUACACCCUUUGAAGCAGCCUGUGCAUGGACACAUGUGAAGUUACCUUGUGCCUCCUUCAAUAUUGUUAUGAUAAAUAUUUCAUUUUUCCCUAGCUUCAAAUUCCUCUUGACAUAGAAAGGUUUUUCCUUUUCCUGAGUCAUGGUAUUGUUAUGGAUUCCACAAACAUUUAUAUCUACUCUUCCUCAUCUCUUCGUCUAGGGGUAAAGAAACCCAGCUUGUAUCUCAGCUGUUAGGAACCCCAGUGGCCACAGACUAGCUUUCUACACUUGGAAGUUCAUCAGGUGUAAAAUGGAAGGUUUUCCCCUUUCUUCCCCUUCAAACAUUUCUUUGGCCAUAUCUCCAGAGAUUAGGUGAAAAUCUUGCUACCCCUCACAAGAAGCAAUGUUACUUUUACAUGUCAGUAUAGAGAGGUGGUGUGUGCCUCCUGGGCAUUUGGAAAAUGCAAUAACACAAGGCUGUGAGGUGAAGGGCAUAGAAAACCCUGAUCAGGCCAAUUCCUUGUUUUAUUAGCAUGUGUCCUUUUGCAGCAGGAGCAUUCCACUGCCUGCUCCUUUUUGCAGUAUGAAAGAGAUAGAGGAUGCUCCCCAGUCAUACUUAGCAAAGCCAGACAGCCAUCAAAAACAGUUCCAGCUACAACCUCAGGGGAUCAAGGUUGUUGCAUUUGCCCACUGCAAUAUAACACAAUGUCUCCUUUAACUUCAGUAGUCUUGGAUGCCGAGAUUUAUGUGAACCAUGAACCACGGGAAGAUUUGAAUAUUUAUUGUCAACUAGGGGUGACUCAAAAAUGCACUCUUUUACAUCUGUGGACGUAUCAAUAUAAGAAAAUAAAUUUGAAAAAAGGAGAAAUAAAAUAUGUAGGUACUUGAAGAAAAGGAAUAUAAUUUUAGUGACAUUGUUGCUAUUCCACUGUUCACCUCAAGACUUGACUGACAGAUAAAACAGUCUUGUGUCAAUUUGAAGUGGCUUCUCAUCUCUGAAACUUUCCCUUUGCAGUGAAAUCCCUGGCAGGUCCCUUCAGCUGCCUCAGUGGGAAAGAAGCAAGCAAGAUUACAGACAGGCAGGAAUACCUCCUUUUCCUUCAGCCCUUCACUUUGGUUGUUUUACUUUUCUCUUGUUCUCUCUCUCUUUUUUUUUUUCUUGACUACUAAGGUAUAUUUAGUUUCUUAAAAUUUUUUCAAAUGAUCCUAUUACACAAAUCUGUUUAUAUAAAGGAAAGAAUACUUGAGAGAAGGUUAGACACCAAGAAGGUAACUUUUCUUUAGCAUAAAUGAUGUCCUUGUUGUAAAUAGAACUUAUUUUGAUAUUUGUGCUUAUUUUUAUGACCAUAAAAUGUUUUCCUAGAACAUAAGGCUCUGAAGAGAAUGUUAAGUUGUUAUUUUGAAUAUUACCUGGCCAAAUGGCAUCUUAGAAACUUCUACCUAAGAGGCAUUUAUGGUGAUAGUAUUACAAGGGGGAAAAAAAGUUGGAUGCUAAGGAACUAGCUUUGAAGCUGAAAGAUGCAUGGGACAUACAUUAUUUUUCUUAGAUUCUGGUUUUAAAGGAAUGGUUUGGAUGUAGAUCUAAUAGAAAAUCAAAAUAAAGUCACUGGAAAGAGCGAAGUCUUGCCAGAUCCCUUUCCAUAGUUUACAUGUAUUUCAAAAAUUCACCAAAGAAUGGGCACAAUUGGUGUCUUAGGGUAUGACAUUUAUGUCCAACUAACAUUUAGGACAAGCUUACUAUUUUUUAAUUAAGAAUUUGGCAUAUAUUAAGGAAUCAGUGAAAGCUAAAUGGUUUUAUUAAAACUACCUUAUUAGAAAUAAAUGAGAACAAAUUAGUUCUCCUGAACUGAUCCCACAGGCUCUACACACCACUUCAUAGAUGCCCCAAACAGUGUUUUGAGGCCAACUGCAUAGUCUUUGCUACAGUGGCUUCAGAAGUAGAGUCUUGAAGUUCUCAUGUGGCAAAGUGGGUUAAGAAUCCAGCAUUGUCACUGUAGCAACUAGGGUUGCGGCUUUGGCAAGGGUUCACUCCCUGGCAAGGGAACUGCCACAUGCUGUGAGCACAAGCAAAUGGUGGUGGGGGGGGUGUAUAGUCUUUUUUUUUUUGCCACAAUUGAGGUAUGUGGAAUUUCCCAGACCAGGAUUCGAACCUAUGCCACAGCAGUGACCCAAGCCACCAGAGUGAAUGCCGAAUUCUUAACCUUGAGGCCACCAGUGAGCUCCAAAAGAACAGUCUCUAAAAGUCCAAACUCCUUUUCUCACGAGGAAAAUGUCCUAGAAAAAAAAUUGUGGGUCUUCUCUAGAAUGUCAUUAAAAGAUACUGGCAAAUAACAGAGUGCCAGUACAAAUUCCACCUGGUGAACUUAAUUAAAUAUUGGGAAACUCAGUGUGCUUUUUUUCUUAUUCCUUUUUCAUCAUUGCAAUUCACACAGCUCACAUUUCACUCCUGAGAACUGCUGGCCAGGCUCAUUUGCUUGUCCUGCUGUACUGCUUUUUUGAUCCCUAACAUAGGAAACUACUUACUGUACAUAAUAAAACUAUAGCAUCUUCCUGGCUUUAUCUCAUUAAUCUUCUUGACUAAACAAAACCAAUUUGUCUUCUUGCUUCACCUUUAUCCUUCAAUUAAGAACUUGUUUUCUUACCUUCGGCUCUUUUCCUUCAGUUCACCUCCAGUUGAGUCAACUGUCAUUCUUCAUCUCCAAUAAGUUCUUUGGGUCACUGCCAUCAGUUGUAUAGUUGAAGGACUGAGUUCUUAACCUUUUAACUGACAAAGAAAAGGCCAGACUCUUGUUUUUGAUUUAGCAGAAGUUGCUGUUGCCUUGCUAGAUUAUUAAUACUAAUAUUUACCCUUAUUAAAAAUAACUAUUUAGGAGUUCCCAUCGUGGCACAGUGGUUAACGAAUCCUGACUAGGAACCUUGAGGUUGCGGGUUUGAUCCCUGGCCUUGCUCAGUGGGUUAAGGAUCCGGCGUUGCCGUGAACUGUGGUGUGGGUUGCAGACAAGGCUCGGAUCCCGCGUUGCUGUGGCUCUGGCGUAAGCUGUGGCUCUGGCGUAGGCUGGCAGCUACAGCUCCGAUUAGACCCCUAGCCUGGGAAUCUCCAUAUGCCGCAGGAGCAGCCCAAGAAAUGGCAAAAAAUAAUAAUAAUAGUAAUAACUAUUUAAUUCUGUAUAUGAGAAUGGAACUAAAAAAUUCCUUUCAUGAGUUUCCCUUGCUUCCAGGCAAUAUUUGAUCCUGUAGACAAAAAGAUGAAAUUGUAAAAAUGCCAGAAAUCUAGGAGACAGAUAUCACAGAAAAAUCCUGAGAGUCAAUAAAGUUGGGCAAUCCUAUUCCUUUUUCAAUUCUUUACAUCACCCCAUGAGAAAGCAAAGACUUACAACUUUUCUUUUUUUUAUUAAAGUAUAAUUGAUUAAUAGUAUUGUGUCAAUUUCUGCUGUACAGCAAAGUGAUCCAGUCAAAUGUAUAUAUAUAUAUAUAUAUAUAUAUAUACAUUCUUUUUCUCAUGCUAUCUUCCAUCAUGUUUUAUCCCAAAAGAGUGGAUAUAGCUCACUGUGCUAUACAACAGGACUUCAUUGUUUAUCCAUUCUAAAUGUAAUAGCUUGCAUCUACUAACCUCAAACUCCCUGUCCAUCCCACUCCCCCCCCUCCCCCUUGGCAAUGAUGUCACUUAUAUGUGGAAUCUAAAAAAUGGCACAAAUCUAUCUACGAAAUAGAGAAAAACUCACAGACAUAGAGCAUUAUGACCUUUCUUGAUUAUUGUUCAUGUUCUAGGCUCAUGUUUGUUUUGAAGGGAAAAGCAGAGAGCUGGCUCCUUUAUGGAAAGCUUUUGUUUUAUCCACUGCAUCUCUUCUUGCAUUUAUCCGCUCCUGUACAAUUUUAACCCUGAGAACAAGACCGAAGACAUCCUUAGGAAAAUCACAGUCAUUAUUUUCUCUAACCACUUAUCUUUUCCCUCCUAUGCCCUAAUCUGGUCAUAAUUGGCUUGAGGUGACAUUUACUUUAAAAUGGAGAAAUGAGAAAUAAUGUUUGCAAGAAUGCUAGACCCCAAAAACAGCAAAUAAAAUAGUGUUAAAAAAAAUAAACCAGGAGUUCCCGUCGUGGCGCAGUGGUUAACGAAUCCGACUAGGAACCAUGAGGUUGUGGGUUCGGUCCCUGCCCUUGCUCAGUGGGUUAACGAUCCGGUGUUGCCGUGAGCUGUGGUGUAGGUUGCAGACGCGGCUCGGAUCCCGCGUUGCUGUGGCUCUGGUGUAGGCCGGUGGCUACAGCUCCGAUUCAACCCCUAGCCUGGGAACCUCCAUAUGCCGCGAGAGCGGCCCAAAGAAAUAGC
rnacentral:lncRNA from 1 species